AUGUGGGUAGUCCGUACGAGCGCACCUUGUCCUUAUUUGCCAGCACGUAAUGGUGGGAACUCUAAGGAGACUGCCGGUGACAAACCGGAGGAGGGUGGGGACGACGUCAAGUCAUCAUGGCCCUUAUGACCAGGGCUACACACGUGCUACAAUGGAGCGUACAGAGGGUUGCUAAGCCGCGAGGUGGAGCCAAUCCCAGAAAACGUUUCGUAGUCCGGAUCGAAGUCUGCAACUCGACUUCGUGAAGUCGGAAUCGCUAGUAAUCGCGAAUCAGCAUGUCGCGGUGAAUACGUUCCCGGGCCUUGUACACACCGCCCGUCACACCAUGGGAGUGGGUUGCAAAAGAAGUGGCUAGUCUAACCUUCGGGAGGACGGUCACCACUUUGUGAUUCAUGACUGGGGUGAAGUCGUAACAAGGUAGCCCUAGGGGAACCUGGGGCUGGAUCACCUCCUU
rnacentral:rRNA from 1 species